rnacentral:lncRNA from 1 species
UCGAAAUCUGGAGAAUCUAUAAAUCUUAAAAUUUAAACAUAUGACGGAGUUGUAUUUGAAUCCAUGAAAUCUACGGGAUCUCAAAAAUUUUGAUGAUUUGCCUUAAAUUAAACAAAAUUAAAAUAAUUUUUUUACUUAUAUAUAAUACUAAAUUUCGUGAUACAUCUAUCCCCCGUUGUUGUUUUAAGUGUCACCGUCACGUAAGGACUCCACUGACUUCUCAAUUCUGUACACUGCCACUCUUCUGAAAAAAAAUGACUUCUUGGAAUCAUCUUCUUCUUCUUCUUUUCUUCUUCGGUUUUCAGGCGGCACUCGCUGCCCUUCCGGGGACGUGGGAGCUUCUGGUCCCCGAUGNNNN